rnacentral:misc_RNA from 1 species
AACCUUAUGGACCUGCGGGCGUAUACCUGCGGAAGGAUCAUUACAGAGUUCAUGCCCUCACGGGUAGAUCUCCCACCCUUGAAUACUAUACCUUUGUUGCUUUGGCGGGCCGCUUUGGCUACUGGCUCUGGCUAGUAAGUGCCCGCCAAAGAACCCCAAAACUCUGAAUAUUAGUGUCGUCUGAGUACUAUAUAAUAGUUAAAACUUUCAACAACGGAUCU